ACGGGUGAGUAAUAUAUCGGAACGUAUCCAAUAAUGGGGGAUAACUAAUCGAAAGGUUGGCUAAUACCGCAUACGCCCUACGGGGGAAAGCUAGGGACCUUCGGGCCUGGCGUUAAUGGAGCGGCCGAUAUCUGAUUAGCUAGUUGGUGAGGUAAAGGCUCACCAAGGCGACGAUCAGUAGCUGGUCUGAGAGGACGACCAGCCACACUGGAACUGAGACACGGUCCAGACUCCUACGGGAGGCAGCAGUGGGGAAUUUUGGACAAUGGGCGCAAGCCUGAUCCAGCCAUUCCGCGUGAGUGAAGAAGGCCUUCGGGUUGUAAAGCUCUUUCGCAAGGGAAGAAAACUUAUCCUCUAACAUAGGGUGAGGUUGACGGUACCUUGAUAAGAAGCACCGGCUAACUACGUGCCAGCAGCCGCGGUAAUACGUAGGGUGCGAGCGUUAAUCGGAAUUACUGGGCGUAAAGCGUGCGCAGGCUGUUUUGUAAGUCAGAUGUGAAAUCCCCGAGCUCAACUUGGGAACUGCGUUUGAAACUGCAAGACUAGAAUAUGUCAGAGGGGGGUAGAAUUCCACGUGUAGCAGU
rnacentral:rRNA from 1 species